rfam:Echinococcus multilocularis genomic scaffold, pathogen_EmW_scaffold_05
AACUGUGUGCGGUGGAUCACUUAACUCGUGCGUCGAUGAAGAGUACAGCCAACUGUGUGAAUUAAUGUGAAUCGCAGGCUGCUUUAAACGUCGACAUUUCAAACGCAUAUUGCAGCCAUAGGCUUGCCUGUGGCCACGUCUGUCCUAGCUUCG